UUACGACAUAUUUUACGAGCAAAUUUUUCGAUCAAUAUGUUGAAAAAAAAUAGUAAAAGUUAUUUGAGUAGCUAAUAUUCAAUUUACGUCUGGUCACAUUGAAUCAGCUGUUGUCAGUAUUUGUCACAACUUUAAAUCCAAACUUUAUAAUUAUAAUAAAAGUUACAUUUUUUUAAAUUGAUAUUUUGUAUUCAUAAUUUAUUUGUACUUUAAUUAUUCCUUUCCAUCCACAAGCAACAAUAAAUAUAUAAUAUGUUGAUAGUAUAACCUUCUCUUCAAAAUUUCGUGUUACUGAUAAAAGAUUUAACAUAAUGGAAACUGGAUUAAUCAAAGGAACUUAACGAAGAUAGAUUUCUUGAUGAACCUCAAGAUAUGCAUGGUGAUGAUGCCUUAUGUGCUGUUAAAAAGUGAUGAUAUUAUUUAUAUUGUAAAUGCCUGUUCCAUGAAGAGACCAUGAAAAGCUACAUUCAGAAUAGAAGAUUUAAAAUAAUUUACAAAUACUGAAGCAUGUUACCGGGACAGAAAUUGCUACUUUAACAUAACCCAAACAAAUCUUAAUAAAGUUGUAACAUUAGUAAAAAUAUGUUAAAACUAUUUUAUUAUCAUCUUAUUAGCAAUAGAAUAAAUACAAAUUAUUAGUAUGGUAGUGUUUUAUUUCCUGUUUUACACUUCCUCAGAUAGUAAACCGCUUAUUAAGAAGUUUAGCAAAUUUGUUAGGUGACAAGCAAGCAAUGAAUCA